GAUGAACGCUGGCGGCGUGCUUAACACAUGCAAGUCGAACGAAGCACUUAAGUGAAUUUCUUCGGAAUGAAGCUUUUGUGACUGAGUGGCGGACGGGUGAGUAACGCGGUGGGUAACCUGCCUCAUACAGGGGGAUAACAGUUAGAAAUGACUGCGUAAUACCGCAUAAGCGCACAGCUUCGCAUGAAGCGGUGUGAAAAACUCCGGUGGUAUGAGAUGGACCCGCGUCUGAUUAGCUAGUUGGUGGGGUAACGGCUCACCAAGGCGACGAUCAGUAGCCGACCUGAGAGGGUGACCGGCCACAUUGGGACUGAGACACGGCCCAA
rnacentral:rRNA from 1 species